rnacentral:rRNA from 1 species
GACAGAGGGGGCAAGCGCUGUUCGGAAUUACUGGGCUUAAAGGGCGAGUAGGCGGUUAGUUAAGUCCGAGGUGGAAUCCUGUGGCUUAACCAGAGAACUGCCUUAGAUACUGUUUCGCUUGAGUCAGUGAGGGGAGGGCGGAAUUCCAGGUGUAGCGGUGAAAUGCGUAGAUAUUGGGAGGAAGGCCAGUGGCGAAGGCGGCGCACUGGCGCAGAACUGACGCUGAGGCGAGAAAGCGUGGGUAGCAAACAGG